rnacentral:rRNA from 1 species
CCUACGGGAGGCAGCAGUGGGGAAUCUUGCGCAAUGCACGAAAGUGUGACGCAGCAACGCCGCGUGCGGGAAGACGGCCUUCGGGUUGUAAACCGCUUUCAGUUGGGACGAAGGUUCUGCGGUUAAUACCCGUAUGGACUGACUGUACCUUCAGAAGAAGCCCCGGCUAACUACGUGCCAGCAGCCGCGGUAAUACGUAGGGGGCAAGCGUUGUCCGGAAUCAUUGGGCGUAAAGCGCGUGUAGGCGGCUGAGCAAGUCCGCUCUGAAAGCCCGAGGCUCAACCUCGGGAGGCGAGUGGAUACUGCUCAGCUCGAGUCCGGAAGAGGAGUGUGGAAUUCCUGGUGUAGCGGUGAAAUGCGCAGAUAUCAGGAGGAACACCAAUUGCGAAGGCAGCACUCUGGGACGUGACUGACGCUGAGACGCGAAAGCGUGGGGAGCAAACAGGAUUAGAUACCCUGGUAGUCCACGCCGUAAACGAUGGGCACUAGGUGUGGGAGGUGUCGACUCCUCCCGUGCCGGAGCUAACGCAUUAAGUGCCCCGCCUGGGGAGUACGGCCGCAGGCGUAAAACGUCAAAUGAAUUGACGG